AAAGAAUUAGUAUCAUUAAAUGUCUAUAUUACCCAAAGCAAUCUACAGAUUCAAUGCAAUCCCUAUGAAAGUACCAAUGAUUCUUCAUAGAAAUUGUAAACAAUAUACUAAAAUUUGUAUGGAACCAUAAAAGACUUCGAAUAGAAAAAAUGAUCCUGAGCAAAAAGAACAGCUGGAGGCAUCAUGCCACCAGAUGUUUUGUAUGACCAAGAUGGAAAAAUAUUUUCCAUUUCCUGCACUGAGGCAGUGAAUGCUUUUAAAGGGCAGCUUACCAAUGAGUUUGGCGUUAAUGCCAAACUCAGCCCACCUACCUAAUAUGGUGGUUUUUAUUUAAUUUAUAAACUCAUCUUAUUAAAAAUCAUAAAAUAAAAUUGUAGUAUUGAAAUAAACAUAUCAUUAAAAUCAGCACUAAUUGAUAAAAUGAUAAAAGCAUUAUUAUUUUACCAAACAUGUUCUUUGGAACCUAAUCCUCAGGAAGUGGAAAGUAGGCACUUUAAAUGUGCCAACCAAGUGUAGAAGGCACCCACUGGGAAAAAAAAAAGAAUUGAGCCACCAAUGAUCUAUUUUCAAUUGAGUUAAAUAAAUUUUAAUAAAGGUCUUUGCUGCUAUUAGCAGUUGUGAUCACCAAAUACCCACAUUACUAGUAUCUGUCUUGCUGGGAAAGCUCUGCUCCAAUUGUUGCUAAAUGUAUUCAAAUACCUACCUGUAUAUCUUCUGCUCAAAUAUUAUUUCAUUUGUUUUGUUUUCAAGGGAAGCUGUAUCAAGACCUAAAUUUAACAGUUUCCUUUGAUUGCAUUGGCCCCAUGAAAAAUUUUCCCUGCAGUGGAAUGACUUGUUGGCUCCAAGGAAGAAACCACAAGAGGCAGCAGGUAGUCAAAUACCUCAUCCUUUCCAGUAAACUACAGGCUCCUGUGGCAUCAGUGUCAUCCACCCUGGGACGCUGAUGUUGGCCACAUCUCCAUAGGAGAACUCUGCUCUCAGCAUCCACUUCAAUCUUCUCUCCCUCUAAUUAGAAUAAUCUGAACAGUUGACUUCAUGCUCUCAUUGGAAGUGUUCCAUCUCCUGAGGACCUGUUGCUGUUCCAGUCUCUGUUCUCCUUCCAUGUUCUCAAGCUGUGGCUGGUUCUUUCAACUUCUUCAUAUUGCACGUGGGCUCUGCUUUUUUGAACAAAUGAGAGUCCUGAGCCUUGUGCAGUCUCCUCCUAGGAGAAUUAAAACAUAAGAGUGCCUAAACAGGGACAGAUUUGCUCCUGGAUUCUUUACCAGCUCAUUGGGUAUAGUCUGUGGGCAGGACCCC
rnacentral:lncRNA from 1 species